rnacentral:rRNA from 1 species
GAUGAACGCUAGCGAUAGGCCUAACACAUGCAAGUCGAGGGGCAGCAUAGAGUAGCAAUACUCAGAUGGCGACCGGCGCACGGGUGAGUAACGCGUAUGCAAUCUACCUACAACAGGGGAAUAACCCGGAGAAAUCCGGACUAAUACCGCAUAAGACAGGGGUCCCGCAUGGGAAUAGUUGUUAAAGAUUUAUCGGUUGUAGCUGAGCAUGCGUUCCAUUAGGUAGUUGGUGAGGUAACGGCCCACCAAGCCAACGAUGGAUAGGGGAACUGAGAGGUUUGUCCCCCACACUGGAACUGAGACACGGACCAGACUCCUACGGGAGGCAGCAGUGAGGAAUAUUGGUCAAUGGGCGAGAGCCUGAACCAGCCAAAUCGCGUGAAGGAAGACUGCCUUAUGGGUUGUAAACUUCUUUUACAGGGGAAUAAAAAGGCUUACGUGUAGGUUAUUGCAUGUACCCUGUGAAUAAGCAUCGGCUAACUCCGUGCCAGCAGCCGCCGUAAUAC